CCUACGGGAGGCAGCAGUGGGGAAUAUUGGACAAUGGGCGAAAGCCUGAUCCAGCAAUGCCGCGUGAGUGAUGAAGGCCUUCGGGUCGUAAAGCUCUUUUACCAGGGAUGAUAAUGACAGUACCUGGAGAAUAAGCUCCGGCUAACUCCGUGCCAGCAGCCGCGGUAAUACGGAGGGAGCUAGCGUUGUUCGGAAUUACUGGGCGUAAAGAGUACGUAGGCGGUUAUUCAAGUCAGAGGUGAAAGCCCGGGGCUCAACCCCGGAACUGCCUUUGAAACUAGAUAACUAGAGUCUUGGAGAGGUUAGUGGAAUUCCGAGUGUAGAGGUGAAAUUCGUAGAUAUUCGGAAGAACACCAGUGGCGAAGGCGACUAACUGGACAAGUACUGACGCUGAGGUACGAAAGCGUGGGGAGCAAACAGGAUUAGAUACCCUGGUAGUCCACGCCGUAAACGAUGAUAACUAGUUGUUCGGUCACUUGGUGACUGAGUGACGCAGCUAACGCAUUAAGUUAUCCGCCUGGGGAUACGGUCGCAAGNUUAAAACCNCAAAGAUUGACGGCUGAAGAGUGCGAGACGACGACGAGGGAGAGG
rnacentral:rRNA from 1 species